UGCAAGAAGACACUGUUACACAGUGAGGCUC
rnacentral:piRNA from 1 species